rnacentral:lncRNA from 1 species
UAGGGAGUAGUAUUAUCACAUCAGGUUGUGCCUGCCUCAUCACAAUUGCCCCACAGAGAUAGUGCAAUUGUGUUUGUGGCCCACACAUCAGAUUUUUUUUUUUUUUUGAGACGGAGUCUUGCUCUGUUGCCCAGGCUGGGGUGCAGUGGCAUGAUCUCGGAUCAUUGUAGCCUCUGCCUCCCAGGUUCAAGUGAUUCUCCUGCCUCAGCCUCCUGAGUAGCUGGGAUUACAGGUGCGCACCACCACACCCGGCUAAUUUUUCUAUUUUUAGUAGAGACGGGGUUUCACCAUGUUGGCCAGGCUGGGCUCAAACUCCUGACCUUGUGAUCUGUCCGCCUCGGCCUCCCAGUGUGCUGGGACUACAGGCGUGAGCCCCGCACCUGGCCCCACAUAUCAGAUUUUUGGGUAUCCCUAGCAUAUGUCCGUCCCACAAGUCUCUGUGGAGACUGCUAUGGUGUGUCAGUAUCUCCAUCCCGUCUCACAGGAUCCUUGCGUGUUUUGCACAUACCUGUGUGUGUGUUUCAGGUUUGUCAUACAUCUUUUCUGUUGCAGAUGUGGCGUACACAAAUGGCUCCAGGCUGUGCUGGGGGGGUGUCAGUUUCCUACAUCUGUCAAUGUAUGCCACAGAUGUAUGUGUAUCUUGCUAGGAUGUGCUGUCACUACUGCACACCUGUCUCACAACCAGCACACACAAUACCUGUAAUUAAUAAACUCAAAGACACACCUACUAAACAUCAAAUAUAUUUUGUAUGCUGAUAGCAAUCUGUCUUAAAUAAGCAGCAGUUGAUACAAUUCAGUACUGUAUAUAAAACAUUUAUAAUUUUGUACACAUACAAUUUUUAUUUUGUAUGUUAAUCUUAUAGUUACGAAACGGUCUUUAAAUUUUAGAAAUGCAAUCUGAAGACUUUAUGCCUUUAACGAAAUAUCUGAUUAUAAAUCCACAUGGGGACAGAUGAAACAAGAACAACCAUGAAUUGCUUGAUAGUUUAUGCUGGAAAAAAAAAAAGAGAAUGACCACAAAACGAUAAAUCCACCACUACACUCCAGCCUGGAUAACAGAACGAGACCCUGUCUCAAAAAAAAAUAAAAAUAAAAAUAAAAAAAGAUAAAUGAUAGAAGACUGGGAAAGGGUUCAUCAGGUUUUAUAAUGAUGUCUUCCAUUUAUGGACAUUUGUAAAUAGCCCCUACAAAAGGCAGAAUAUGUCCUUCUAUCAGUAAUUUAUAUGUUGCAAAGGAUAAAUUGAAAAGGGCUGGAAGAAACAUUUGGUUUUGGGAAUGUAAGAUGUAUAAAAACAUCAAAAUAUAUAUUUUAAAAAUAUACAACUGAAUCCCUUCUAAGGUGAAGGAUAAAAACCCAUACAAUUUAAGUCCAUUAUAUCUCAAUAAAACUGUUUAAAAAACAAAUACUUAAAACUUGCCACUUCCUGAUCAUUUUACUGUUUUAUUGUCGUCUUUAUUCUUCUGGCUAUCUUGGAUACUCUACCAGUGUAUUGGAAACAGAAUACAAAGGUGU